UUGUCUUUUUUCUUGUUAAUUUCUGCUGAUAACUCCUAUUCUAGUUGGAUUCCUAGAUCUAGUAUCUGUUUUCUUCCAUGUUUCAGUAUACAGCAAUGGGGCAAUAGAGAAUGGAUUUAUCCAGCUAUUCUGGUCAUCACAAAUAGUCCUGCCUUUGCUGAAUGGUGGGGCUGUGCUGAGUGAUGGCUUCGUUGUGGCUCUCUAAAAUCAUGGACUACUACCUGUAACAGAAUCUUUGACAAAGAUGACUAAACAUGCAUAGCAUACAUUUCCUCUGGCCUUCUGCAACAUCACAGUGGUGGAGUGGAUUUGAAAUGAUCUAUAGUUACACAUCUCUGUGUGACAGAAUUUGUCUAUUUUUCUUAUGGCCACAUUGCUGAGAACUGAGAGCAC